rnacentral:rRNA from 1 species
AGUGAACGCUGGCGGCAUGCCUAAUACAUGCAAGUCGAACGGAAGCACAGUAAGAGCGUGCCCUUACGGGUGGCGGGUGGCGGACGGGUGACGAAUACAUCAGAAUCUACUUUUUCGUGGGGGACAACGUAGGGUAAGUUACGCUAAUACAGCAUAUGAUGUACGGGUGAAAUCAAUGGUUAUUCACACCUUUCGCGUCUGAUUUAGCCGAUGUCGGAUUAGCUAGUUGGCGAGGUAAAGGCACACCAAGGCGACGAUCCGUAGCUGGUCUGAGAGGAUGAUCAGCCACACUGGAACUGAGACACGGUCCAGACUCCUACGGGAGGCAGCAGUAGGGAAUCUUCCGCAAUGGGCGAAAGCCUGACGCAGCCAUACCGCGUGGGUGAUGAAGGUCUUCGGAUCGUAAAGCCCUGUUGUUAGGAAAGAACAACAGCGUAUUUAUCCAUCGCUGUUCUGACGGUACCCAAUCAGAAAGCACCGGCUAACUACGUG